UUGAUCAUGGCUAGGGACGAACGCUGGCGCCACCUUAAUACAUGCCAUCGAACGGUCAUAUUUACUUUGGUCAUAUCUUAGUUGUGGACUGGUGAUCUCGUGCCCGCCUUUCACAAGGGGAUAGCAGUUGGAACGACUGAUAAUACCGCAUACAUAACACUCCGCAUGAAGCUGUUAUCAAAGAUUUAUCGCUGAAAGAUGACUCGCGUCUGAUUAGGUAGUUGGUGAGUAACGGCCMACCAACCGACGAUCAGUAGCCGGAUGAGAGUAGGACGGCCACAUUGGGACUAAGACCAGCCCAGACUCCUACGGGAAGCAGCAGUGGGGAAUAUUGCACAAUGGAGGGAACUCUGAUGCAGCGAUGCCGCGUGAAGGGAGAAGGUUUUAGGAUUGUUACCUCUGUCUUAAAAVCGACAAUGACGGUACCCUAGGGAGGAAGCUCCGGCUAACUACGUGCCAGCAGCCGCGGUAAUACGUAGGGAGCGAGCGUUGUCCGGAAUUACUGGGUGUAAAGGRAGYGUAGGCGVGAYUGCAAGUCAGAUGUGAAAUUUAUGGGCUUAACCCAUAACGYGCAUUYGARACUGUGGUUCUUGAGUGAAGUAGAGGUAAGUGGAAUUCCUAGUGUAGCGGUGAAAUGCGUAGAUAUUAGGAGGAACAUCAGUGGCGAAAGCGGCUUACUGGGCUUUAACUGACGUCGAGGCUCGAAAGCGUGAGGAGCAAACAGGAUUAGAUACCUUGGUAGUCCACGCCGUAAACWAUGACACUAGGUGUGGGGGGACUGACCCCUUCCGUGCCGCAGUUAACACAAUAAGUAAUCCACCUAGGGAGUACGACCGCAAGGUUGAAACUCAAAGGAAUUGACGGGGGCCCGCACAAGCAGUGGAGUAUAUGGUUUAAUUCGAAGCAACGCGAAGAACCUUACCAGGUCUUGACAUCGUAUGCAUAGCAUAGAGAUAUGUGAAAUUCCUCCGGGAACAUAUAGACAGGUGGUGCAUGGUUGUCGUCAGCUCGUGUCGUGAGAUGUUGGGUUAAGUCCCGCAACGAGCGCAACCCUUACUGUUCAGUUGUACGCAAGAGCACUCAAGCAGGACUGCCGUUGACAAAACGGAGGAAGGUGGGGAUGACGUCAAAUCUAUCAUGCCCCUUAUGACCUGGGCUACUACUACGUACUACAAUGGCUGUAAACAGAGGGAAGCAAAGCUGGUGACGCAGAGCUAAACCCCUAAAAGCAGUCUUUAGUUCGGAUGUAGGCUGCAACCCGCCUUACAUGAAGUCGGAAUCGCUAGUAAUCGCGGAUCAGCAUGCCGCGGUGAAUACGUURUDUURRDUUGUAKACACCGCCCGUCACGCCAUGGGAGUCUGUAACACCCGAAGCCGAUAGUCUAACCGCAAGGGGGACGUCGUGGAAGGUGGGAUUGA
rnacentral:rRNA from 1 species